rnacentral:rRNA from 1 species
GACAGCCAGGAUGUUGGCUUAGAAGCAGCCAUCAUUUAAAGAAAGCGUAAUAGCUCACUGGUCGAGUCGGCCUGCGCGGAAGAUGUAACGGGGCUAAACCAUGCACCGAAGCUGCGGCAGCGACACUAUGUGUUGUUGGGUAGGGGAGCGUUCUGUAAGCCUGUGAAGGUGGCCUGUGAGGGUUGCUGGAGGUAUCAGAAGUGCGAAUGCUGACAUAAGUAACGAUAAAGCGGGUGAAAAGCCCGCUCGCCGGAAGACCAAGGGUUCCUGUCCAACGUUAAUCGGGGCAGGGUGAGUCGACCCCUAAGG